rnacentral:lncRNA from 1 species
UACAGAUUCAGAAUUAGUACAUACUGCAUGAUGAGUUUGUCUAUUAAGAAAAGAGUUGUCAACUUGCAGUAGAUACUUUACCUGAAUCCAUACUAGCAUUGCCAAUUGUCUUCCCCGAGUCCAAGUCCUAAAAUUCACACAGUUCAGAGUUAAAUGUAGCUACACAAUUCAAGUCCAGUGAUAAUUUACUUACUGACAGGAGAUUUCAAUUCAAAUUUGGAACAUAUAGCACAGAGUACAAAAUUAACUUGGGUGCCAGUACAAUUAUUCUUGUUCCUUCAACCUGGGAGCUAGAGCCAUCAACAAUUUUAACUGAGAAUUUAUUUCUGCACUUACUAUAUUCCUUGAAUAAUGAGAUAUCCCCAAUCAUAUGAUCGGAAGCACCUGAGUCAAUAUCUCAUAUUCCCCUUUUUGUGGAAUAAGUUGAGAAACCAGAAAAAUUACCUUUGUGAGUUGUAGAAGCAUUACUAAGAACCAUAUUGGGUGAAAACAAUUUUUGGAGGAGGUUGAUUUGUUCAGAACUAAAUAAGGGGCUUCCAGUAGAAACGGCUGCAGUGGAUCCCUCCUCUGUUGAGAUAAAAUUACCCCGAUGAAUUUCCUCCAUUUCCUGCUUUCGUGUUUUCUUCUUCUCAGCCGAUUCCUUCUCAGCGGGUUUCCCGUGAGUUACCAGCAUCUUCCACGAACGUGUCCCGGCUUUUUACAGUAUUCACACCAUGGCCGUCCCUUUCACUCAGUCACUUGACUUGUGAGAACAGUAUCAGUCUCGGGUGAAAGAGAUAUGCUUUCAGCAGG